GAAAUGCGAUAAGUAAUGUGAAUUGCAGAAUUCAGCGAAUCAUCGAAUCUUUGAACGCACAUUGCGCCCCUUGGCAUUCCGAGGGGCAUACCUGUUCGAGCGUCAUUUCGUAACUCAGGUCUGGCCUGGUGUUGGGCAUGUGGUCUCGGCCAGAGACCCGUCCUAAAGGUGUCGGCGGCGUCAUUCCUGCCUCGAGCGUCGUGGAACUACGUCUGAGCUCGCUUUGGAGGUGGAAGGCGAUCGCCUGCCGUGGCAAACGCAUCCUAAGGUUGACCUCGGAUCAGGUGGGAGUACCCGCUGAACUUAA
rnacentral:misc_RNA from 1 species